GUCCAAAAUACAGUAAUGUUUGUCUUUUCCAAGCACAUAUCUGAUUGCUCUGUGUGGAAAAUGACUGUUGCUGCGUGAUUUUGGAU
ensembl:snoRNA small nucleolar RNA SNORD121A